GACCGCGUAGCUCAGUUGGAAGAGCAUUGGGCUAGUAUUCCGAAGGUCGUAGGUUCGAAUCCCACCGUGGCCC